rnacentral:rRNA from 1 species
CGAACGCGAAAGGGUAGCAAUACCCGAGUAAAGUGGCGAACGGGUGAGUAACGCGUAGGAAACCUGCCUUCGAGUGGGGGAUAACAUUCCUAACGGGAUGCUAAUACCGCAUGAAACUGAGAGGUCGCAUGGCCUCACAGUCAAAGGUGGCCUCUAUUUAUAAGCUACCGCUCAAAGAUGGUCCUGCGUCCCAUUAGCUAGUUGGUGGGGUAACGGCUCACCAAGGCUCCGAUGGGUAGCCGAUCUGAGAGGAUGACCGGCCACACUGGGACUGAGAUACGGCCCAGACUCCUACGGGAGGCAGCAGUCGAGAGGCUUCGGCAAUGGGGGAAACCCUGACCGAGCGACGCCGCGUGGAGGAUGAAGGCCUUUGGGUUGUAAACUCCUGUCAUGAGGGAAGAAACGUCACCGUUCGAAUAGGGCGGUGAUUUGACGGUACCUCAAGAGGAAGCUCCGGCUAACUCCGUGCCAGCAGCCGCGGUAAUACGGGGGGAGCAAACGUUGUUCGGAAUCACUGGGCGUAAAGGGAACGUAGGCGGCCAUGUAAGUGAGGUGUUAAAUCCCCCGGCUCAACCGGGGACCUGCACCUCAUACUGCACGGCUUGAGUACAUCAGAGGAGACUGGAAUUCCCGGUGUAGCGGUGAAAUGCGUAGAUUUCGGGAGGAACACCAGUGGCGAAGGCGAGUCUCUGGGAUGAUACUGACGCUGAUGCUCGAAAGCUAGGGGGAGCAAACGGGAUUAGAUACCCCGGUAGUCCUAGCCGUAAACGGUGGGCAC